AGGCUUUGACAGAACAAGGAACCUGAUGGAACCAGGAGAAAUGAAACAGAUCUAAAAUAAUGUGUGAAGACCUUGCUUGGAUUCAGCAGAUGCCUGCCCUGAUGUGGAGCAAACGACAACCUUAUGAAGGCAGGUGACCCCUGUAUUCAUCCUUUUUGCCUUUUAAAUAGAAAUGCCAUAGCCCACAUCCUGCACACUUCAAAGAUAAGGCGAGUGAGGGAAAAUAACUUGGAUCCAAGAAAAAAGGGAGCCAGCUUACCUGGGAUUACUGAAAUUCUAACACUGAGAAAUCGAGACAGCAGCUUGUGUAUUCUUAAACAGAGAGUAUAAGGACUGAAAGGCAUCAUGAAGGAUGAAUAAUUCAAAGAGGAGACCAUGCCCUCACUGAGGCAUUGAACUCUGUACAGCUCUAAAUAAAAUCAAGACUCAAGUCACGACGAAGGCCACUGAAAAUAUCUGGCCUGCUCCACAGCAGAAUACCCUCCACAUGGAUAUUCCUGAAGGACCUGCAGCCCAUGAAGAGGCCAUGUUGGACCACAAAGGACUGCAGUGCAUGGGAAGGUCUCACACUGGAGUGGGGAAAAAAGUGUGUGGAGGAAGAAGCAGCAGAGAGAAGCUAUCGGGCUGACUGCAGCCCCUCACUCUUCAUCCCUCUGAGCUACUUGGGAAAGAGGAUAUAUAGGAGCCAGAGAUGAGGGAGUGAAACUAACCUGGGGAGGAGUAGGCUUUAGUUCUUGUCUGUAUCUUAGUUUUUGUCUGUUCUUGUCUGUUUCUCACCAUCAAACUAUAAAUUAUUUGCUAAUCAGUUUAUUUUCCCCAGAUUGAAUCUGUUUUGUCCAUGGCAGUAACUUGCUAAGUGACCAUCUCAUCUUUAUCUUGACGCACCAGCUUUUCCAUCUUAUUUACUCCCUCUGACCUGUUGUGGAAAGGGAGUGAGAGAGCAGCUGGGUGUGCAUCUGACAGCCAGCCAAGGUCAAGACACCACAGAUUCUUUCAUUCUCUGGAACUUGCAGGAGAACUUGAAAGCAAACAGAUUUUAUCUAGUCAAAUAAUAUUCUGUUUUUUAAUUAUUUGUGUCACUGUGAAACCUAAUGCAUGUUUCUCUCCUUCAGGUUGAGAGACAGAGUUUGUGGAAAUUAUAAUUUCUCCUAGUUUUGGUAUAAGAAGGAAUUUUAGUCCGCAGACCUCAGUCCCUGAUGUGUACAUGUCACUGAAGCAGUAUGUAAGGCCAGCUUGAAAGAAAACGAAAAAAAAAUUAUUUGACUAAGAAUGAAAAAUAUAGAUUUAAUUAGGGCAACAAUUAAUAACUAACCUCUGAGUCAAACUAUUAAUGGGGGGGGGGGAAGUACUCCUUUUAAAAUACAGUGACAAAGUAAUUGCUUCUGAUAGUGUAAUUCUUUGGUCAAGGCAAAGAUCACAUAUAUUAUUGUCCUUCCCAAAGAGUGACACAUAACAGAAGGUGAGUACACUCUCCUAAUCUGGACACAUGUACAUAUGAACAUGAUCUUUUAAAAGUGUUUAAGAGUGACAUGCAAAAGUGGUGACCUUCUGAUGAAAAAAACAUAUCAGUGAGCAUGCGGCUGCUGGGAUGACUUGGGCUUUUGAUCCAUUUCUCUUUAAUUUCAGUUUCAAAAUCUGUUUGUAAAUAUUAAAUGGUCUGGAUUCAUUAACCAAUGAGUUAGUCAGCUAGCCAAACCCUCCAAACUCUUAUUAAUCUAUUAUUUAUUUUACUGAGUGCAUUGUGUAGCUCAGCUAUUGAAUGUACAGGUUUCAACAUUCUAAGUUCAAAGUGUAGGGGUUUUUUUCUCUGUGAAUGUCAGAAAAAAUUAUGUAUCUAUUUGUUAUUCAGAGGCUUCUCUGAGGAUUAACAACUUAGUACUGGCUCCAAUUCAUGCUCUUCUGCAGCAAUAUUUCCUGUCCAUUUGGCUUCAGAGGAAUAUUUUCUCUCACUGUUUUGGCCAUCAUGUAAUAGAGAAAUCUGCACAGUUGUGCGGGCCAGAUUCGUGCACACAAAGAUGUGCCCAACAGCAUCUUUUUCCCCAGUAUAAACUUGACAUAGAGAAAAGAUUCAUCACCGUCUAACUUGUAAAAUUAAAAAAAAUUAUUUACAUUUAAGAAACAGUACACUGAAUUAAUAGUAUUGGGUAGAAAUAUAGGAGUGACCAAUUUUUUUUUUAUGCAAAAGUACCAUAAAUGAGAAAACUUUAGCUUUGAAGACUUAAAUGCCUUUGUGGGUAGAAACGCUAGAAAAAAGACAGGUACAAUGAUUAUAUAAUUUUAGAAAACACAGAGACAACUGUAUCUCACACUUUUUUGUUUGUUUGUUUGUUUGCUUUCCAGAAGUGAUUAUUGUAAGGGCCAAGUUCCUAAGGAAGGCCCUAAGGUAGGUGUUAAACAUUCAGGGCCAGUUAUAAACACAAAGGCAGCCAAUGACUUAACAGAAGGAAUCAUUUUACCAAAGGUAAAAUAGACAGAUAAGGUCUGCCUAUUUAGCUGACUCUUAUAAGCAAGUAACCAUUCAGAAGGAAAAUAUAGGUAAAAUCAAAAAUAUUUGUGCAUUUUGGUACAAAUACCAUUGUAUUUUGGUACCCUGGGGUAUUGUCAUUCAAAUAUAUAAUCCAAAUGAUGAAUUGAAAGGAUAUUUUUCAAGCUGAGAAAAUUGAAAAUAUUAAAAGUCAUCUUGUUAUUCUGAAAAAGAGCAGCUUAUCAACAGCACUGCAAAUAUCUUAGGAAAAGGCAUUCAAUAUAACAAAAUGAGUACUUGUCAUGUUGCAUGGCAAAAUGUAUGAAAAGAGACUCAAGACAUUGAGUCUCAGAUAUAAAGUAUAUAUAUUUAUGAGUUGUGUGUGUGCUCUUAUGAAUUUUUAUGUGUAUUUAUUAGGAAUUUUGUUAUUAACAUAAAUUUACUGUUUAAUAAUCCAAUAUUUUAAUUUUAAAUAUUUAAAAUAUAAAUUAUAAAUAUUUUAAUAUUUUAAUGUAUUCCCAUGUCCCAUGAGAGGCAGAGUAAACUUCUCUUAGAUCCUGUUGCUGCUGAUCACCUGGGCUCAAUGGCUUGUGAAGUCUUGGAAUAAAUACUCUUCUUGAAAAUUAAAAA